AUACGUAGGUGGCGAGCGUUGUCCGGAAUCACUGGGUGUAAAGGGCGUGUAGGCGGGAGAGCAAGUCAGGUGUGAAAGCCCAAGGCUCAACUUUGGGACUGCAUCUGAAACUGUUUUUCUUGAGUACUGGAGAGGGAAGCGGAAUUCCUAGUGUAGCGGUGAAAUGCGUAGAGAUUAGGAGGAACACCAGUGGCGAAGGCGGCUUCCUGGACAGAGACUGACGCUGAGGCGCGAAAGCGUGGGUAGCGAACAGGAUUAGAUACCCUGGUAGUCCACGCCGUAAACGAUGGAUACUAGGUGUAGGAGGUAUCGACACCUUCUGUGCCGGAGUUAACACAAUAAGUAUCCCACCUGGGGAGUACGGCCGCAAGGUUGAA
rnacentral:rRNA from 1 species